GACGAACGCUGGCGGCGCGCCUAACACAUGCAAGUCGAACGAGCGAGAGAGAGCUUGCUUUCUCGAGCGAGUGGCGAACGGGUGAGUAACGCGUGAGGAACCUGCCUCAAAGAGGGGGACAACAGUUGGAAACGACUGCUAAUACCGCAUAAGCCCACGGGUCGGCAUCGACCAGAGGGAAAAGGAGCAAUCCGCUUUGAGAUGGCCUCGCGUCCGAUUAGCUAGUUGGUGAGGUAACGGCCCACCAAGGCAACGAUCGGUAGCCGGACUGAGAGGUUGAACGGCCACAUUGGGACUGAGACACGGCCCAGACUCCUACGGGAGGCAGCAGUGGGGAAUAUUGCACAAUGGGGGAAACCCUGAUGCAGCGACGCCGCGUGGAGGAAGAAGGUCUUCGGAUUGUAAACUCCUGUUGUUGAGGAAGAUAAUGAC
rnacentral:rRNA from 1 species